rnacentral:lncRNA from 1 species
GAGAAAUGAACUUCUAAGAAUCCAUGAAAUGUUCAACACCCUAUUCUGUCCCUAUCAAUAAGCUGCUGGAACAAUGACCCUAGAGUGUGGAAAUACCUGUGUAACUUUAAAUGAAUUAUCAACAAUCAACAUUUUGCCAAGGAAACCAAUAGGGCGGGAUAGGAAAGAUGCAACAUGCAAAAUUGAAAAAGAGGUCAAGGAACAGUGAAAAAUUGAAGUGGAGCAGAGCAAGAGACAUUUAAAGGUAUUCAAAAAGGUUGGGAUCCCAAUCUUCAAGUCAGUUACACAAAAAAACUCUCUUCAUAGUACAGCCCAAUUAUUUUUGUCAGUUCAAGAAAAAGAAAUCUUUAAUAUUCAAUAGGUUUUCUUCUACUAGAAAAUCCUUACGAAUAAACUGGACCAAGCUCCCAGCCCAGCACCAGGCAUGCAGACAAAUUGAAGUGCAAAAGAAAAUCCCCCUCGAAGCAGAACAGUUAGAAGCUAUUGCAUCACAGUGAUUUUUCUGAACUUGCUUGAAGAUGACUGACCGCACUCAGCUACAUGCACCUUGAUCUCUAAAGAACUCUGAGCCUUCUACUGUGGUAGCAGCAAGGACCUGGGCUUGCUGUCAUCUCAGAAAUCCUAUGUCAGAUGGUGAGAGAGCAGUUCCUCAGUGACAACCGCUGACAAUUCCUCCUCAUGCCAUCUGCAUAAAAGCCAAAGUUCUCAUCACGGGCUUAAGACAAGGUGCGACCAGACUCUCAGUCUCCUACCACACUCCCCCACCCCAACCUGUUCUGCUCCAGCCACACAGGUCCCCCUGCUGUUCCUAAGCUGGGCCUGCCCUUACCUUAGGGCCUUUGCUCUGCCAGUUUCCUCUGCCUGGAACACAAUGACAAAUACCUAUGCAGCUGCCUUCCUUGUGCCCUUUAGUCCUUGCUAAAAUGUCACCUUUCCUAUCAGGCUCACCCUGUCCGUGUUUAAAAUGUCAACUAUUUCUCCCCAAUUCCCCUCACUUUAUUUUUUUUGUUUUCGUGCCUUCAUACUUAUCUUUGAGACUGUGGACGUCCCUUACUUAAUAUGCUCAUUAUUUAUCUUCUGCCCUCAUCUCCUUUGCCUAUCUCACUCAAAGACGUAGCUCAAGAGGCACAUGGUAGGUACUCAUUACGUUUUCAUUGAAUGAAUGAAUGAACGAAUGAAUGAACACAUCCCUAGACAGAAGUCAGGAGCUGAUGAAGAUGGAUGCAUAUGGUUCCGAUGCUGAGAUUUAUGGGACUACCUAAGCCUUUCAAACUGUUACCAGUUUAUUACUAUUAGAGUUACUAAAAUAUCUUUUGUUUUGCUUUUUCCCUCAUGGAUACUUCUCAAAGAGAUCCAGGGUUCCCUUAAUCCUGCAUUGUCUACUUGCAGGAAUGAUUUCCCCCACAGAGCUGCCUGUAAUUGUCAAAGCAGCACUAAUUGGAGCUUGUUCAUGCCCCCUGCCUGAGACAGCAACCACCUUCAAUUCAAAGGCUGGCUACCUGGUGAACGCCAAUUCAGCACCCAGUCAAAGCCGGUUAUACUUGAGUUUUCCUUGCCAGCAGCAUGUUUUCCUGUUUAAUCCGUGUUAACAUUCCAAUUCAGGUUCUCCUAACUGGCACACAUUCUGUCUGACAAACGUUGUCCUUCCCCCUUCUGUCUUCUUUUCUCUUAUAGAAAUAUUAUUUAUUUAUAACAUAUUGUAGCAAACAACUAUACAGCUGAGAGGGAGGCAUACUUCCUCCUAACAAUACCCACAUAUGAUAUAAGGGUGAUUUUUUCACUU